rnacentral:rRNA from 1 species
UUCGCAAUGCCCGAAAGGGUGACGAAGCGACGCCGCGUGGGUGAGGAAGGCCUUCGGGUUGUAAAGCCCUGUCAGGAGUUAAGAAAUGUAAGUGCGCUAAUAUCGCAUUUAUUUGACGAAGGCUCCAAAGGAAGUCACGGCUAACUCUGUGCCAGCAGCCGCGGUAAUACAGAGGUGGCAAGCGUUGUUCGGAAUUAUUGGGCGUAAAGAGCACGUAGGUGGGUUUGUAAGUCAGAUGUGAAAGCCUUCUGUUCAACGGAAGAAUUGCAUCUGAAACUGCGAGUCUUGAGUGUAGGAGGGGAGAAUGGAACUUCUGGUGGAGCGGUGAAAUGCGUAGAUAUCAGAAGGAACGCCGGCGGCGAAAGCGAUUCUCUGGCCUAUUACUGACGCUCAGUGUGCGAAAGCUAGGGGAGCAAACGGGAUUAGAUACCCCGGUAGUUCUAGCCGUAAACGAUGGGCACUAAGUAGAGGGGUUUU